rnacentral:rRNA from 1 species
UUAAUGAGAGUUUGAUCCUGGCUCAGGACGAACGCUGGCGGCGUGCCUAAUACAUGCAAGUAGAACGCUGAGGUUUGGUGUUUACACUAGACUGAUGAGUUGCGAACGGGUGAGUAACGCGUAGGUAACCUGCCUCAUAGCGGGGGAUAACUAUUGGAAACGAUAGCUAAUACCGCAUAAGAGUAAUUAACACAUGUUGGUUAUUUAAAAGGAGCAAUUGCUUCACUGUGAGAUGGACCUGCGUUGUAUUAGCUAGUUGGUGAGGUAAAGGCUCACCAAGGCGACGAUACAUAGCCGACCUGAGAGGGUGAUCGGCCACACUGGGACUGAGACACGGCCCAGACUCCUACGGGAGGCAGCAGUAGGGAAUCUUCGGCAAUGGACGGAAGUCUGACCGAGCAACGCCGCGUGAGUGAAGAAGGUUUUCGGAUCGUAAAGCUCUGUUGUUAGAGAAGAACGUUGGUAGGAGUGGAAAAUCUACCAAGUGACGGUAACUAACCAGAAAGGGACGGCU